rnacentral:rRNA from 1 species
UCCAGACUCCUACGGGAGGCAGCAGUGGGGGAUAUUGCACAAUGGGGGGAACCCUGAUGCAGCGACGCCGCGUGGGUGAAGGAGCGUUUCGGCGCGUAAAGCCCUAUCGGCAGGGAAGAAGGAGGACGGUACCUGACUAAGAAGCCCCGGCUAACUACGUGCCAACAGCCGCGGUAAUACGUAGGGGGCAAGCGUUAUCCGGAUUUACUGGGUGUAAAGGGGGCGCAGACGGCAGCGCAAGCCAGGAGUGAAAGCCCGGGGCCCAACCCCGGGACUGCUCUUGGAACUGCGCGGCUGGAGUGCAGGAGGGGCAGGCGGAAUUCCUGGUGUAGCGGUGAAAUGCGUAGAUAUCAGGAGGAACACCGGUGGCGAAGGCGGCCUGCUGGACUGCGACUGACGUUGAGGCCCGAAAGCGUGGGGAGCAAACAGGAUUAGAUACCCCCGUA